rnacentral:rRNA from 1 species
GCCGGCGGCUCGAGUGGUGGCCACUAUUACUGGGCUUAAAGCCUUCCUCGCCCCCCCCCCCAGUCUCUCGGCAAAUCUUCCGGCUCAACCGGAAGGCGUCUCAGGGAUACUGGCAGGCUAGGGACCGGAAGAGGUGAGAGGUACUCCAGGGGUAGGAGUGAAAUCCUGUAAUCCUUGGUGGGGCGGGUGUGGCGGAGAGGUCUCAGGGGGGGGGAUGAGGGAGGGAGGAAAGAAAGAGGGGGGAGAAAAAAG